AGAGUUUGAUCAUGGCUCAGGAUGAACGCUAGCGGCAGGCUUAACACAUGCAAGUCGAGGGGUAUAGUAGCAAUACUAGAGACCGGCGCACGGGUGCGUAACGCGUAUGCAAUCUACCUUUUGCAGCGGGAUAGCCCAGAGAAAUUUGGAUUAAUACCGCAUAGUAUAGUACUUUGGCAUCAAGGCACUAUUAAGGUCACAACGGCAAAAGAUGAGCAUGCGUCCCAUUAGCUAGUUGGUAUGGUAACGGCAUACCAAGGCGACGACGGGUAGGGGUCCUGAGAGGGAGAUCCCCCACACUGGUACUGAGACACGGACCAGACUCCUACGGGAGGCAGCAGUGAGGAAUAUUGGUCAAUGGACGCAAGUCUGAACCAGCCAUGCCGCGUGCAGGAUGACGGUCCUAUGGAUUGUAAACUGCUUUUAUACAGGAAGAAACACUCCCUCGUGAGGGAGCUUGACGGUACUGUAGGAAUAAGGAUCGGCUAACUCCGUGCCAGCAGCCGUGGUAAUACGGAGGAUCCAAGCGUUAUCCGGAAUCAUUGGGUUUAAAGGGUCCGUAGGCGGUUUAAUAAGUCAGUGGUGAAAGCCUAUCGCUUAACGAUAGAACGGCCAUUGAUACUGUUAGACUUGAAUUAGUGGGAAGUAACUAGAAUAUGUAGUGUAGCGGUGAAAUGCUUAGAUAUUACAUGGAAUACCAAUUGCGAAGGCAGGUCACUAUCACUAUAUUGACGCUGAUGGACGAAAGCGUGGGGAGCGAACAGGAUUAGAUACCCUGGUAGUCC
rnacentral:rRNA from 1 species